UACAGAGGGUGCAAACGUUGCUCGGAAUCAUUGGGCGUAAAGCGCACGUAGGCGGCCUAGCAAGUAGGGAGUGAAAGCCCUCGGCUUAACCGAGGAAGUGCUUUCUAAACUACUAGGCUUGAAUACUGGAGAGGGUCGCGGAAUUCCCGGUGUAGAGGUGAAAUUCGUAGAUAUUCGGAAGAACACCAGUGGCGAAGGCGACUUACUGGACACAUAUUGACGCUGAGGUGCGAAAGCGUGGGGAGCAAACAGG
rnacentral:rRNA from 1 species